GCCGCCGUAGCUCAGGGGUAGAGCACACCCUUGGUAAGGGUGGGGUCGCGUGUUCAAUUCACGCCGGCGGCACCA
rnacentral:tRNA from 3 species